rnacentral:hammerhead_ribozyme from 1 species
AUUCAGUUGACGAGUCCCAAAUAGGACGAAGUGUCGCGCGUUCUGGAU